rnacentral:rRNA from 1 species
GAUGAACGCUGGCGGCGUGCCUAAUACAUGCAAGUCGAGCGAACAGAUGAGGAGCUUGCUCCUCUGACGUUAGCGGCGGACGGGUGAGUAACACGUGGAUAACCUACCUAUAAGACUGGGAUAACUUCGGGAAACCGGAGCUAAUACCGGAUAAUAUAUUGAACCGCAUGGUUCAAUAGUGAAAGACGGUUUUGCUGUCACUUAUAGAUGGAUCCGCGCCGCAUUAGCUAGUUAGUAAGGUAACGGCUUACCAAGGCGACGAUGCGUAGCCGACCUGAGAGGGUGAUCGGCCACACUGGAACUGAGACACGGUCCAGACUCCUACGGGAGGCAGCAGUAGGGAAUCUUCCGCAAUGGGCGAAAGCCUGACGGAGCAACGCCGCGUGAGUGAUGAAGGUCUUCGGAUCGUAAAACUCUGUUAUUAGGGAAGAACAAAUGUGUAAGUAACUAUGCACGUCUUGACGGUACCUAAUCAGAAAGCCACGGCUAACUACGUG